UACUUAGUGGCAGACGGGUGAGUAACAUGUGGGUAUCUGCCCUUUGGCCUGGAAUAACACGAGGAAACUUGUGCUAAUACCGGAUAAGUCUUUACGGAGAAAGCUUUAUGCACCAUUGGAUGAGCCUGCACUUGAUUAGUUUGUUGGUGGGGUAAUGGCCUACCAAGACUGUGAUCAAUAGCUGAUUUGAGAGGAUGAUCAGCCACAUUGGGACUGAGACACGGCCCAAACUCCUACGGGAGGCAGCAGUGGGGAAUCUUGCACAAUGGAGGAAACUCUGAUGCAGCGAUGCCGCGUGAGUGAAGAAGGCCCUUGGGUUGUAAAGCUCUUUCGUCGGGGAAGAAAAUGACUGUACCCGAAUAAGAAGGUCCGGCUAACUUCGUGCCAGCAGCCGCGGUAAUACGAAGGGACCUAGCGUAGUUCGGAUUUACUGGGCUUAAAGAGUUCGUAGGUGGUUGAAAAAGUUGGUGGUGAAAUCCCAGAGCUUAACUCUGGAACUGCCAUCAAAACUUUUCAGCUAGAGUAUGAUAGAGGAAAGCAGAAUUUCUAGUGUAGAGGUGAAAUUCGUAGAUAUUAGAAAGAAUACCAAUUGCGAAGGCAGCUUUCUGGAUCAUUACUGACACUGAGGAACGAAAGCAUGGGUAGCGAAGAGGAUUAGAUACCCUCGUAGUCCAUGCCGUAAACGAUGUGUGUUAGACGUUGGAAAUUUAUUUUCAGUGUCGCAGCGAAAGCGAUAAA
rnacentral:rRNA from 1 species